GAUGAACGCUGGCGGCGUGCCUAAUACAUGCAAGUCGAACGAAGAUCUAGCUUGCUAGAUCUUAGUGGCGAACGGGUGAGUAAUACAUAAAUAAUCUGCCCAUAUGACUGGGAUAACUAUUGGAAACGAUAGCUAAUACCGGAUAGGUUGAUCGGAGGCAUCUCUGAUGAAUUAAAGUAGGAUUUCUACACAAAUGGAUGAGUUUAUGACGCAUUAGUUAGUUGGGGGGGUAACGGCCUACCAAGACGAUGAUGCGUAGCCGACCUGAGAGGGUGACCGGCCACACUGGGACUGAGACACGGCCCAGACUCCUACGGGAGGCAGCAGUAGGGAAUUUUCGGCAAUGGGCGCAAGCCUGACCGAGCAACGCCGCGUGAGUGAUUAAGGCCUUCGGGUUGUAAAGCUCUGUUGUAAGGGAAGAACAUUCAGGAUAGGAAAUGAUCUUGAACUGACGGUACCUUACCAGAAAGCCACGGCUAACUACGUGCCAGCCGCCGCGGUAACAC
rnacentral:rRNA from 1 species